rnacentral:rRNA from 1 species
GACGAACGCUGGCGGCGUGCCUAAUACAUGCAAGUCGAACGCAGUGGGGACGGGUGAGUAACACGUGGGUAACCUCCCAUCAGAGGGGAUAACACUUGGAAACAGGUGCUAAACCGAUACUGAUGGAAUGACCCGCGGUGCAUUAGCUAGUUGGUGAUGUAACGGCUCACCAAAGCCACGAAGCAAAGCCUACCUGAGAGGGUGAUCGGCCACACUGGGACUUAGCGACGGCCCAGAUUCCUACGGGAGGCUGCAGUAGGUUAUCUGCGGCAAUGGACGAAAGUCUGACCGAGCACCGCCGCUUGAGUAGAGAUGGUUUUCGGAUCGUAAAACUCUGUUGUUAGAAAAGCGGUAUCUAACCAGAAAUCCACGGCUAACUACGUGCCAGCAGCCGCGGUAAUUC